rnacentral:tRNA from 1 species
GGGCGCGUAGCUCAGGUGGUUAGAGCGCGUCACUGAUAAUGACGAGGUCGAUGGUUCGAGUCCAUCCGCGCCCA